rnacentral:rRNA from 1 species
GGUGAGUAAUGCAUAGAUAAUGUGCCCCUUAGUUCGGGAUAGCCACUGGAAACGGUGAUUAAUACCGGAUACUCCUUCUUGUUAUAAGACAAGUCGGGAAAGUUUUUCGCUAAGGGAUCAGUCUAUGUUCCAUCAGCUUGUUGGUGAGGUAAUGGCUCACCAAGGCUAUGACGGAUAUCUGGUUUGAGAGGAUGAUCAGACACACUGGAACUGAGACACGGUCCAGACUCCUACGGGAGGCAGCAGUGAGGAAUAUUGCACAAUGGAGGAAACUCUGAUGCAGCAAAGCCGCGUGGAGGAUGACGCAUUUCGGUGUGUAAACUCCUUUUAUUAGGGAAGAUAAUGACGGUACCUAAUGAAUAAGCACCGGCUAACUCCGUGCCAGCAGCCGCGGUAAUACGGAGGGUGCAAGCGUUACUCGGAAUCACUGGGCGUAAAGGGUGCGUAGGCUGGCUUUUAAGUCAGAUGUGAAAUCCAAUGGCUCAACCAUUGAACUGCAUUUGAAACUGAAAGCCUAGAGUUCAGAAGGGGCAGAUGGAAUUAGUGGUGUAGGGGUAAAAUCCGUAGAUAUCACUAGGAAUAUCAAAAGCGAAGGCGAUCUGCUGGGAU